GUUUUCGACGCCAACGCUCGCGAAAAUCCGACAGUCGCAAAGAAAAGCUUUGUAGAACACGACGUUUAAUGCAUGAACGUCCAUUGUUGCACUCAUAGUCCAUUUGACCGAGUUACAGGCACGCGCUAAAGUAAAGCAAGUGCAGGUCAGAGCUGUUUUCAAGUUGGGAUCAAAAUUUGUGUCCCCUGAAUGGAACAUCUUCUGGGGAAAAAAGUGUACUAAAGGGCAGGUUCCACAGUGAAGUGAACACAACACAAGUUCAAAGUCCAACCUGUUUAUUUUUCUGGUCUAGUUUUCCAUGUAUAAUGUCAGCAUAAAUAGCGUCAAU